rnacentral:rRNA from 1 species
GACGUAGGGUGCAAGCGUGUCCGGAUUUACUGGGCGUAAAGAGCGCGUAGGCGGCUCGUUAAGUGAGAAGUGAAAGCUGUGGGCUCAACCCACAAACCGCUUUUCAUACUGGCGAGCUGGAGUGAUGCAGAGGUGGAUAGAAUUCCCGGUCGUAGCGGUGAAAUGCGUUGAUAUCGGGAGGAAUACCCGUGGCGAAGGCGGUCCACUGGGCAUCAACUGACGCUGAGGCGCGAAAGCGUGGGGUGCAAACAGG